rnacentral:rRNA from 1 species
AGUGAACGCUGGCGAUAGGCCUAACACAUGCAAGUCGAACGGCAGCACAGUAAGAGCUUGCUCUUACGGGUGGCGAGUGGCGGACGGGUGAGGAAUACAUCGGAAUCUACUUUUUCGUGGGGGAUAACGUAGGGAAACUUACGCUAAUACCGCAUACGACCUACGGCUGAAAGCAGGGGAUCUUCGGACCUUGCGCGAUUGAAUGAGCCGAUGUCGGAUUAGCUAGUUGGCGGGGUAAAGGCCCACCAAGGCGACGAUCCGUAGCUGGUCUGAGAGGAUGAUCAGCCACACUGGAACUGAGACACGGUCCAGACUCCUACGGGAGGCAGCAGUGGGGAAUAUUGGACAAUGGGCGCAAGCCUGAUCCAGCCAUACCGCGUGGGUGAAGAAGGCCUUCGGGUUGUAAAGCCCUUUUGUUGGCAAAGAAAAGCAGCAGGUUAAUACCCCGCUGUUCUGACGGUACCCAAAGAAUAAGCACCGGCUAACUUCGUG